rnacentral:lncRNA from 1 species
GCACAGUGUGUAUUUCAUGAGCAUAAUUCAAAAACAGCUAUUUCAAAAAUGUCCCUUGUCAUAUAUUACGUUCCUGCCUGGGCCACUGACUUGGAUAAAUACAAAUAAACCAAAUACCAUUCAGCCCUAUUUUAUCCUUCAACCUACGUGCACAGGCUCUCCAGAGAAGGGUGUUGUUUUAUCCACUAACCUGUAAUUAGCUGCCACUUUUGUAGCAAUUUCCCAUUAGGCAUUCCAUGUGUAAUAUUGGCCUUAGAGAAAAUUGCAAAACUGUACAAUGGAUUUAAGUUCUUUCCUGUCGAGCUUUUCAAUGCUAGGAGAUUGAAAAGUCAGCCAGCAAAAGUGACUGCAGGUUCCCUGGUGUCCUAUGAAGGUGCCAGAAUAUCUCCAAGUGCCUGUAAAAUUAGCAGUCACCUUCCCUGCCAUCCACAGGCUGCUGCUGCAGCUGCUGUUCUCCCUUUUGCUGUACUGUACUGUCGUGAAGUCACUGGGUCCUUUCUAGACUCUCUGGCAACUGCUGGGAAACAAUAGCUAAAGUGAUUACUUCCUAAAGACCAUUACCUUGUUUUACGAGGCUGGCAGCUCUGCCAAAAACCUGCCAUCGAAAACCUGGGCCUUGGCGUGAAAGCCUCAAGCACAAGUCUGGGAUUGGAAAUGAUAAAACUGCCACAUAUGGGAAUUGGGAAAGAAGGACCUUCCACAACUCCUGGCCAUUUGGAUGGGUAGUGGGCAAGGUGGCACUCAUGUACAGGGAAGGCAGACCUGGAAAUGGAAGUAACUGGGUAACAAAUACAAAACAGGUGUAGGAGCAUCCUGGAAAUGUUCUUAUAACAUCUCCUAAAUGGAAGAAAAGCUGUGCUCUUCCUUAGAAGGUAGCCUGCCCCCCACCCCCCACGCCCCCCACCAAGCUCCAGGAGGAGCACCAGGGGAAGACAAGAAGCCACACCCAGCCAGCUGGACCGACCAAAUCCAUGCUGGCCAUCAGCACAGUGACAGAUGUCCCAGCCAGCUUGCCUGCACUUCCAAAUCAUUCAUUUAAAUGUUUCUUGAGUGAGUGCCAACAACAUGGAAGGCCCUUCAUUUGAGCCUAGAAAAGAGAAACUUCAUUCUCUAUGUUUAUUUUCACUAUGGAUCAGAAGACUUUAAAGACAAGAAAAUACAUCUCAAGCUGGAAAGUUUGCCAUUUAUUCUGAGACUCUUAGUCCAGGGUUCAGCUGAUGUACACACCCACAUGUAGCAAGACAUUGCAUGUAUGGCAUCUUCCAGUCUCUAACUUGAGGAUGUGUGUCUACCAUCUGCCUGUUCAAUGGUACAUGCACCCCAUGGUACUCUUGGCUUGACUCCUGGGAUCUGAGCUGGAAGGCUUUCCUGAGUCCUCUCUGCCAUCUUUAAUUACUGUGAGAUUUUACCUCUUGUCAUGCACUAAUAUUGCACGAUGUCCAUUAACCCAGCAAGCGUUAAAAGGACCUACGACGGGUGAUGUACUGUGGAGGCUGAGAUAAACUAGCACAAUUCCUGUUCUUAAGAACUUCCAUCUAGUGAGAAAUCUUUUACCCUGGAUGUUCACAGGGUGGGGUGACUGAUUUAUCACUCACAGAUGACAGAACACCAGUUUGUCAGGGGCACAGCAUCACUACCAGCCUGAGACUGGCUCUCAGCAUGUGGAGACCGUGCAGGCUGCUUGCAAGCCAGCCAUCAGUCACAUGCAAAUACACUUGUGGCCCACUCUAUUACAACAAUUCAAAUGUCACCCUUAGUAAACCCCUAGAAGGAAAAAGAAAGAGAGAGAGGAAAGAAAAAGAAAGAAAGAGAAAGAAGGAAGGGGGAA